GACGAACGCUGGCGGCGUGCUUAACACAUGCAAGUCGAACGGAAAGGCCUUUUCGGAGGUACUCGAGUGGCGAACGGGUGAGUAACACGUGGGUGAUCUGCCCUGCACUCUGGGAUAAGCCUGGGAAACUGGGUCUAAUACCGGAUAGGACCGCACUUUAGUGUGUGUGGUGGAAAGUUUUUUCGGUGUAGGAUGAGCCCGCGGCCUAUCAGCUUGUUGGUGGGGUAAUGGCCUACCAAGGCGGCGACGGGUAGCCGGACUGAGAGGUUGGUCGGCCACAGUGGGACUGAGAUACGGCCCAGACUCCUACGGGAGGCAGCAGUGGGGAAUAUUGCACAAUGGGCGCAAGCCUGAUGCAGCGACGCCGCGUGGGGGAUGACGGCCUUCGGGUUGUAAACUCCUUUCGCCAGGGACGAAGCGUUUUGUGACGGUACCUGGAGAAGAAGCACCGGCUAACUACGUG
rnacentral:rRNA from 1 species